CGUUUUUGCCCAUACAAAAGUAUUUCUUUAAUAACUUCGACAAUUUUUAUCUGAUCGCAACCAAAUUUUCAGGAAUCACAAAGACUUUAGUUAUUAUUGUAUAUAACAAAAUUCGUAAUUGCGUAAUUAAAAGCAUUGAAUAGUUUAAUUGAGUUAUACCUACCUUAACGGAAUAGGCCAGCGAUAAUGUAACGGCCAGUGGAAGACCUUCUGGUACUGCCACAACUAAUACUGUGACACCAAUGAUUAAAUGUUUAACCAAGUUGUUGGCGUAAGUAUUUUUCCAAGGUUUAUCAUCGAUAACAAAUGUCUUAAUGCAGAAUUGUAUAAUUAGAAUAAUGACGGUGAGCACAGCAAUUGUCGAACCAGCAUAUCCAAUUUGUAUUGCCAACUUGGUUAGCUUGGCCUGCAGCACAGACUUUUCUUUUUGUGGCCAGUUUCAGCAGCGGAUGAUGACCUUUGCUGCUGAACAUGAUU